UACAGAGGGUGCAAGCGUUGUUCGGAAUUAUUGGGCGUAAAGCGCGUGUAGGCGGCUUAGCAAGUCGGGCGUGAAAGCCCUCGGCUCAACCGAGGAAGUGCACCCGAAACUGCUGAGCUUGAGUGCCGGAGAGGAUGGCGGAAUACCCCAAGUAGAGGUGAAAUUCGUAGAUAUGGGGUGGAACACCGAUGGCGAAGGCAGCCCCCUGGGCUAACACUGACGCUCAGGCACGAAAGCGUGGGGAGCAAACAGG
rnacentral:rRNA from 1 species